rnacentral:lncRNA from 1 species
GCUUCUCAUUCUUGUAGUGUGUCUCUAAUGCAUGCUGAAUUUCUUUUGGUGACUUCAUCUUUAAAAAAAACAUCAUAUAAAUGAUUGAUUAAAAUAUUCAAAAUGUGCCCAUGACAAAAAGCAAUUUUAUCUUCUUCGUGUUUCUUUCUGUCAACCUUCAUAUUUUCAGAAUCAGUUGGUGAAGACUCUUGUAAUGGUAGUAGAUUUGGAUCAAGUACAUAAUAUAUCUCCAAAGCAGGUAGUAGGAACACCAUCUUAUCUUUCCAUCUCAUAAAAUUUGUUCCACCAAAAUGAUCCAAUUUGAUAUCUUAGUUUAGGAUUUUGCUAGUAAAAUUUGAAUCCAUCUUCAUGGAAGAUAACACCUUUAGAUUGUUAGAAUAGUAAUAUAUAUGAAGAUAAAUUUGGCUUAGAGGUAUGAAGAAAUCACUUUCUUAAAGUGUUAUUUUUUAUUAUAAGAAAGAAGAAGAAUCUCUUUAGGAUACAGCUAUGUCAUGACCCGAGCCCGGGGUCAUGACCGGUGCAUAGGAUGGACUAGCCAACCUAGCAAGCCUAACAAAUAUAUCAAAUGGGAUAAAUCAAAUAUACAAAUUAUAUUGAAACUUGACAAAUUUUUUUCUAAAAGUUGGACAUUUCCAAAGGUAUGAUUUCUUGCUUAAUCCAGUAUAUUCAUAUAUGUAUGUACAAAUUCAGAUUUCUAACAAACAAAAUAUCUAUACGAUGUAUACAUACAGUCAUUCCAAUUAAGCAAAUACAAUGGAAGCUAGAUCCUGUCUGUAGAUAAUGGAGCACGUCUAAAGUUUAUAUACAAUCAAAAUAUAUCCAAAAGGAAACACAACUACAGGGUAGCAAAAGUAAAUGCCCACACACGCAAGUGCUGGGCUCACCAAAA